GACGAACGCUGGCGGCGUGCCUAAUACAUGCAAGUAGAACGCUGACGCGAGGAGCUUGCUCUUCUUGGAUGAGUUGCGAACGGGUGAGUAACGCGUAGGUAACCUGCCUUGUAGCGGGGGAUAACUAUUGGAAACGAUAGCUAAUACCGCAUAACAAUGGAUGACACAUGUCAUUUAUUUGAAAGGGGCAAUUGCUCCACUACAAGAUGGACCUGCGUUGUAUUAGCUAGUAGGUGAGGUAAGGGCUCACCUAGGCGACGGUACAUAGCCGACCUGAGAGGUGGAUCGCCACCAUGGGACCGGGGAAAGGCCCCAACCUCCAAGGGGGGGAACAGGAGGGAAAUUUUGGCAAUGGGGGCAACCCUGAACGAACCACGCCGGGGGAGGGAAGAAGGGUUUCGGAUCGUAAAGCUCUGUUGUAAGUCAAGAACGGGUGUGAGAGUGGAAAGUUCACACUGUGACGGUAGCUUAACAGAAAGGGACGGCUAACUACGUG
rnacentral:rRNA from 1 species